rnacentral:rRNA from 1 species
GGGCCCGCACAAGCGGUGGAGUAUGUGGUUUAAUUCGAUGCAACGCGAAGAACCUUACCAGGGUUUGACAUCCUGCGAAUCUCUUGGAAACGAGAGAGUGCCUUCGGGAACGCAGUGACAGGUGGUGCAUGGCUGUCGUCAGCUCGUGUCGUGAGAUGUUGGGUUAAGUCCCGCAACGAGCGCAACCCACGUCUUUAGUUGCCAGCAUUUAGUUGGGCACUCUAGAGAGACUGCCGGUGAUAAACCGGAGAAGGUGUGGAUGACGUCAAGUCAUCAUGCCCCUUACAUCUGGGCUACACACGUACUACAAUGCUACGGACAAAGGGCAGCAAGUUCGCGAGGACAAGCAAUCCCAAAAAGUGCGUCGU